rnacentral:rRNA from 1 species
UACGAAGGGGGCUAGCGUUGCUCGGAAUCACUGGGCGUAAAGCGCACGUAGGCGGCUUUUUAAGUCAGAGGUGAAAUCCUGGAGCUCAACUCCAGAACUGCCUUUGAUACUGGAAGGCUUGAGUCCGGGAGAGGUGAGUGGAACUGCGAGUGUAGAGGUGAAAUUCGUAGAUAUUCGCAAGAACACCAGUGGCGAAGGCGGCUCACUGGCCCGGUACUGACGCUGAGGUGCGAAAGCGUGGGGAGCAAACAGG